GACGAACGCUGGCGGCGUGCCUAAUACAUGCAAGUCGAACGGAAAGGCGAUGCGCUUGCUGGGCGCAUGUGAGGGGAACGGGGGUGUGACACGCGUGGAACCCGUCCCUGUCUGUCGGAUAACACUUGGGAAAUGGGGCUAAAAUCCGGUAGAAGAUCCUGCAGCGCGGGGGGGGAUGGAAAAAGUCGGCCGUGCGGGCUGGACUCGAGGCUUAUCCGCUUGAUGGUCGGGUAGUGACUUACCAAGCCUUUGACGGGUAGGCGGCCUGGGAGCUUGGACGGCCACAUUGGGCCUGCGGUACGGCCCAGUCUCCUACGGGAGGCAGCGGUGGGGAAUCUAGCGCAAUGGGCGCACGCCUGAUGCAGCAGCGCCGCGUUCGUGAUGACGGCCUUCGGGUUGUAAACCGCUUUCUCCUGUGCCGAAGCCUGAGUGACGGUAAUGGGUAAGGAAGCACCGGCUAACUACGUG
rnacentral:rRNA from 1 species